AAAAAAAAUGCUGGCAAAUCUUGAUCAGCAAAAGGUUGUUUGUAUCCAAGAACAUCAAGAGCUUUCAUUGUAUGGAAUAAUUAUUUGCGCCAAAGCAAUCAACUGUACAUCUCAGGUUUCAAGAUCCCCACGUAAGGUAAGUUCCUAUAAACCUCAGCAAAAUCUAACCCGUAGCCAACCACAAAAUAAUCUGGACACUCAAAACCACGGUAGAACUUCCCCUCUCCCACAAGUUCGACAUUAACCUUCCUCUUUGAUGAUUUAUCAAAGAGAGUACACACUGAUAUGGAGGAUGCCCCUUUAGAUUUCAGGUGUUCAAAGAGGCAGGCCAACGUGUUUCCUGUAUCCACAAUGUCCUCAACCAAAAUGACAUGCUUUCCAGUAACAUCAAUUUUCAAGUCGCAAGAAAUUUUGGGUUUUCCACUGGAUACAGUACCCGACCCGUAAGAUUCGACCCGAACAAAAUCAACAGAAACGGGGAGGUUGAUUUUGCGAACAAGGUCAGCUAGGAAUAAAAAAGCACCAGUAGCAACACCGACAACAACCG
rnacentral:misc_RNA from 1 species